AAUCAACGCUGGCGGCGUGCCUCAGACAUGCAAGUCGAACGAUUAAAGCUCUCUUCGGAGAGUGUAUAGAGUGGCGCACGGGUGAGUAACACGUAAGUAAUCUACCUUUGAGUGGGGAAUAACGUCCGGAAACGGACGCUAAUACCGCAUAAUGCAGCGGCAUCGCAAGAUGACAGUUGUUAAAGAUUUAUCGCUUGAAGAGGAGCUUGCGGCAGAUUAGCUAGUUGGUAAGGUAAUGGCUUACCAAGGCUACGAUCUGUAACCGGUCUAAGAGGACGGUCGGUCACACUGACACUGAAUAACGGGUCAGACUCCUACGGGAGGCAG
rnacentral:rRNA from 1 species